rnacentral:rRNA from 1 species
UACGUAGGGUGCAAGCGUUGUCCGGAAUUAUUGGGCGUAAAGAGCUCGUAGGCGGCUUGUCGCGUCUGCUGUGAAAUCCCGAGGCUCAACCUCGGGCGUGCAGUGGGUACGGGCAGGCUAGAGUGCGGUAGGGGAGAUUGGAAUUCCUGGUGUAGCGGUGGAAUGCGCAGAUAUCAGGAGGAACACCGAUGGCGAAGGCAGGUCACUGGGCCGCAACUGACGCUGAGGAGCGAAAGCACGGGGAGCGAACAGG